rnacentral:rRNA from 1 species
AUUGAACGCUGGCGGCAGGCCUAACACAUGCAAGUCGAGCGGAUGAAGGGAGCUUGCUCCUGGAUUCAGCGGCGGACGGGUGAGUAAUGCCUAGGAAUCUGCCUGGUAGUGGGGGAUAACGUCCGGAAACGGGCGCUAAUACCGCAUACGUUCUGAGGGAGAAAGUGGGGGAUCUUCGGACCUCACGCUAUCAGAUGAGCCUAGGUCGGAAUAGCUAGUUGGUGGGGUAAAGGCCUGCCAAGGCGACGAUCCGUAACUGGUCUGAGAGGAUGAUCGGUCACACUGGAACUGAGACACGGUCCAGACUCCUACGGGAGGCAGCAGUGGGGAAUAGUGGACAAUGGGCGAAAGCCUGAUCCAGCCAUGCCGCGUGUGUGAAGAAGGUCUUCGGAUUGUAAAGCUCUUUAAGUUGGGAGGAAGGGCAGUAAGUUAAUACCUUGCUGUUGUGACGUUACCAACAGAAUAAGCACCGGCUAACUUCGUG